CUUGACAUCUCCUGACACCCCUAGAGAUAGGGCGUUCCCCUUCGGGGGACAGGAUGACAGGUGGUGCAUGGUUGUCGUCAGCUCGUGUCGUGAGAUGUUGGGUUAAGUCCCGCAACGAGCGCAACCCUUGAUCUUAGUUGCCAGCAUUCAGUUGGGCACUUUAAGGUGACUGCCGGUGACAAACCGGAGGAAGGUGGGGAUGACGUCAAAUCAUCAUGCCCCUUAUGACCUGGGCUACACACGUGCUACAAUGGAUGGUACAAAGGGCUGCGAGACCGCGAGGUUAAGCGAAUCCCAUAAAACCAUUCUCAGUUCGGAUUGCAGGCUGCAACUCGCCUGCAGAAGCCGGAAUCGCUAGUAUCGCUGACAGCAUGCCGCGGUGAUCGUUCCCGGGCCUUGUAUAUCCGGCCCUGUCUCUACCUAACGGGAGGGC
rnacentral:rRNA from 1 species